rnacentral:rRNA from 1 species
AUGGACUCCGCCCGGAGCUGGCUGCAGAAGCUGCAGAAGGACAAGGCCAGGCCGGGCGCGUCGCCACUCGGCGCCGGGAUGGCCGGGGACGACGAGGACGAGCCGGUGCUGUCCAGCGCCACCAAGCAGAAGGUGGAGGCCGCCAAGCAGUGCAUCGAGAACCACUACAAGGCGCAGAUGAGGUCGCUCCAGGAGCGCAAGGAGAGGCGUUGGAUGCUGGAGAAGAAGCUUGCUGAUGCUGAUGUAUCUGAAGAGGAGCAAAACAAUAUCCUGAAGGAUUUAGAAAAAAAGGAGACAGAAUACAUGCGCCUAAGGAGGCACAAAAUGGGCGUUGAUGAUUUUGAAUUGCUGACCAUUAUUGGGAGAGGUGCUUUUGGGGAGGUGAGACUUUGUAGAGAAAAAGCUACAUCCAAUGUAUAUGCAAUGAAAAAGCUCAAGAAGUCUGAAAUGUUACGAAGAGGCCAGGUUGAGCAUGUGAGAGCUGAAAGGAACCUCCUUGCAGAAGUUGAUAGUGCUUAUAUAGUUAAGCUCUACUGCUCAUUCCAAGAUGAUGAGUUUCUAUACCUCGUUAUGGAGUACCUUCCUGGUGGUGACAUGAUGACUCUGCUCAUGCGAAAGGAUACACUUACAGAGGACGAGUCUUCAUUUUAUGUUGCAGAGACAAUACUAGCAAUUGAAUCCAUUCACAAGCAUAACUAUAUUCAUAGGGAUAUCAAGCCUGACAAUUUAUUGUUAGAUCGAACUGGCCAUCUGAAGCUUUCAGAUUUCGGCCUAUGCAAGCCUCUAGAUAGUAGCAGCUUUCCAAAUCUCACUGAACUUGACAAUGCAGCGGGGAAUAUCACCAAUACAUCAGCAGAUGGUGAUAAGCUAUUAAGUAGCACUGCUGUUCCCAGGCGAACACAGCAGGAACAACUAUUGCAUUGGCAGAAGAAUCGCCGGAUGUUGGCUUAUUCAACUGUUGGUACACCUGAUUACAUUGCCCCGGAAGUCCUAUUGAAGAAAGGAUAUGGAAUGGAAUGUGACUGGUGGUCACUUGGGGCCAUUAUGUAUGAGAUGCUUGUGGGUUACCCACCAUUUUAUUCUGAAGACCCAAUGUCAACAUGUAGGAAGAUAGUAAAUUGGAGAAGCCAUCUUAAAUUUCCUGAAGAGGCCAGACUUUCUCCAGAAGCUAAAGAUCUAAUUAAUAAGCUAUUAUGUAAUGUGGAUCAGAGACUUGGGAUGAAAGGAGCACAUGAGAUAAAGGCUCAUCCAUGGUUUAGAAGUGUUGAAUGGGAAAAGCUAUAUCAAAUGGAAGCAGCUUUCAUACCUGAAGUUAUUGAUGAGUUGGACACACAAAACUUCGAGAAUUUUGAGGAGGCUGCGCCUACCAUGCAAACUUCAUCAAAGGCAGGUCCUUGGAGAAAGAUGCUUUCCUCCAAGGACAUGAAUUUUGUCGGUUAUACUUACAAGAACUUCGAAAUAGUGAAUGAUCCUGAACUUCCAGGAAUAGCUGAAUUAAAGAAGAAGAACAACAAACCAAAACGACCAACCAUCAAAUCAUUAUUUGAGUGUGCUGAAAGUGACGAUCAGCCUGAAGGCAGUCUUUUGGGCCCAUUGCCGCCUCAGCUAGAGUUGCCUGAGAGCCCCUCGCCUCAUUCCAGUAUCUCCUCCGAAGAUUCCCAAGCACAACACAGAUAA